GACGGAGGGUGCAAGCGCUGCUCGGAAUCACUGGGCGUAAAGGGUGCGUAGGCGGUCUCGCAAGUCUGGCGUGAAAGCCCGAGGCUCACCCUCGGAAGCGCAUUGGAAACUGGCAGACUGGAGUCCCGGAGAGGAGGGUGGAAUUCCUGGUGUAGCGGUGAAAUGCGUAGAUAUCAGGAGGAACACCGGUGGCGAAGGCGGCCCUCUGGACGGUGACUGACGCUGAGACGCGAAAGCGUGGGGAGCAAACAGG
rnacentral:rRNA from 1 species